CAAGUCGAACGAAACUUCUUUAUCACCGAGUGCUUGCACUCACCGAUAAAGAGUUGAGUGGCGAACGGGUGAGUAACACGUGGGCAACCUGCCCAAAAGAGGGGGAUAACACUUGGAAACAGGUGCUAAUACCGCAUAACCAUAGUUACCGCAUGGUAACUAUGUAAAAGGUGGCUAUACUACCGCUUUUGGAUGGGCCCGCGGCGCAUUAGCUAGUUGGUAGGGUAAAGGCUUACCAAGGCAAUGAUGCGUAGCCGAAUUGAGAGGUUGAUCGGCCACAUUGGGAUUGAGACACGGCCCAAACUCCUACGGGAGGCAGCAGUAGGGAAUCUUCCACAAUGGGCGAAAGCCUGAUGGAGCAACGCCGCGUGGGUGAAGAAGGUCUUCGGAUCGUAAAACCCUGUUGUUAGAGAAGAAAGUGCGUGAGAGUAACUGUUCACGUUUCGACGGUAUCUAACCAGAAAGCCACGGCUAACUACGUGCCAGCAGCCGCGGUAAUACGUAGGUGGCAAGCGUUAUCCGGAUUUAUUGGGCGUAAAGGGAACGCAGGCGGUCUUUUAAGUCUGAUGUGAAAGCCUUCGGCUUAACCGGAGUAGUGCAUUGGAAACUGGGAGACUUGAGUGCAGAAGAGGAGAGUGGAACUCCAUGUGUAGCGGUGAAAUGCGUAGAUAUAUGGAAGAACACCAGUGGCGAAAGCGGCUCUCUGGUCUGUAACUGACGCUGAGGUUCGAAAGCGUGGGUAGCAAACAGGAUUAGAUACCCUGGUAGUCCACGCCGUANACGAUGAAUGCUAAGUGUUGGAGGGNUUCCGCCCUUCAGUGCUGCAGCUAACGCAAUAAGCAUUCCGCC
rnacentral:rRNA from 1 species